AUUGAACGCUGGCGGCAGGCCUAACACAUGCAAGUCGAACGAGUGGCGGACGGGUGUGAAAUGUCGGGGAAACUGCCUGAUGGAGGGGGAUACCUACUGGAAACGGUAGCUAAUACCGCAUACCAUCAGCUUAGCCCAGAUGGGAUUAGCUAGUGGGUGGGGUAACGUCUAACGAAGGCCACGAUCCCUAGCUGGUCUGAGAGGAUGAACAGCCACACUGGAACUGAGACACGGUCCAGACUCCUACGGGAGGCAGCAGUGGGGAAUAUUCCACAAUGGGCGAAAGCCUGACGCAGCCAUGCCGCGUGAAUGAAGAAGGCCUUCGGGUUGUAAAGCACUUUUAGCGGGGAGGCGUUACCCGCAGAAGAAGCAACGGCUAACUCCGUGCCAGCAGCCGCGGUAAUAC
rnacentral:rRNA from 1 species